GAGUUUGAUCCUGGCUCAGGACGAACGCUGGCGGCGUGCUUAACACAUGCAAGUGGAGCGACGAACCAGGCUUCGGCCUGGGGCAAAGCCGCGAACGGGUGAGUAACACGUGGGUAACCUGCCCCGAUGAUUGGGACAACCCGAGGAAACUCGGGCUAAUACCGAAUGUGCCCUCUGGCCACAAGGCCGCUGGGGAAAGGAAGCUUCGGCCUCCGCAUCGGGAUGGGCCCGCGGCCCAUUAGCUUGUUGGUGAGGUAACGGCUCACCAAGGCUACGAUGGGUAGCUGGUCUGAGAGGACGAUCAGCCACACUGGGACUGAGACACGGCCCAGACUCCUACGGGAGGCAGCAGUGGGGAAUAUUGGACAAUGGGCGCAAGCCUGAUCCAGCAAUGCCGCGUGGGUGAUGAAGGCCCUAGGGUUGUAAAGCCCUUUCAGCGGGGAAGAUAAUGACGGUACCCGCAGAAGAAGCCCCGGC
rnacentral:rRNA from 1 species